rnacentral:rRNA from 1 species
GGUUAAGCGACUAAGCGUACACGGUGGAUGCCCUGGCAGUCAGAGGCGAUGAAGGGCGUGCUAAUCUGCGAUAAGCGCCGGUAAGGUGAUAUGAACCGUUAUAACCGGCGAUACCCGAAUGGGGAAACCCAGUGUGACUCGUCACACUAUCAUUAACUGAAUCCAUAGGUUAAUGAGGCGAACCGGGGGAACUGAAACAUCUAAGUACCCCGAGGAAAAGAAAUCAACCGAGAUUCCCCCAGUAGCGGCGAGCGAACGGGGAGGAGCCCAGAGCCUGAAUCAGCAUGUGUGUUAGUGGAAGCGUCUGGAAAGGCGCGCGAUACAGGGUGACAGCCCCGUACACAAAAGCGCAUGUGCUGUGAGCUCGAUGAGUAGGGCGGGACACGUGGUAUCCUGUCUGAAUAUGGGGGGACCAUCCUCCAAGGCUAAAUACUCCUGACUGACCGAUAGUGAACCAGUACCGUGAGGGAAAGGCGAAAAGAACCCCGGCGAGGGGAGUGAAAAAGAACCUGAAACCGUGUACGUACAAGCAGUGGGAGCCCCACCACUAAGCCAGUGGUGAACUCCACAUACGCAACAUACGCAUCCUUUGCUGAAGGCAAUGGUUAACGGAGCGAAAGCGACGUUCAACCGCAAAACAAGCAGAGGGGGCUUAGUGGUGGGGUGACUGCGUACCUUUUGUAUAAUGGGUCAGCGACUUAUAUUCUGUAGCAAGGUUAACCGUAUAGGGGAGCCGGAGGGAAACCGAGUCUUAAUUGGGCGUUAAGUUGCAGGGUAUAGACCCGAAACCCGGUGAUCUAGCCAUGGGCAGGUUGAAGGUUGGGUAACACUAACUGGAGGACCGAACCGACUAAUGUUGAAAAAUUAGCGGAUGACCUGUGGCUGGGGGUGAAAGGCCAAUCAAACCGGGAGAUAGCUGGUUCUCCCCGAAAGCUAUUUAGGUAGCGCCUCGUGAAUUCAUCUCCGGGGGUAGAGCACUGUUUCGGCUAGGGGGCCAUCCCGGCUUACCAACCCGAUGCAAACUGCGAAUACCGGAGAAUGUUAUCACGGGAGACACACGGCGGGUGCUAACGUCCGUCGUGAAGAGGGAAACAACCCAGACCGCCAGCUAAGGUCCCAAAGUCAUGGUUAAGUGGGAAACGAUGUGGGAAGGCCCAGACAGCCAGGAUGUUGGCUUAGAAGCAGCCAUCAUUUAAAGAAAGCGUAAUAGCUCACUGGUCGAGUCGGCCUGCGCGGAAGAUGUAACGGGGCUAAACCAUGCACCGAAGCUGCGGCAGCGACACUCAGGUGUUGUUGGGUAGGGGAGCGUUCUGUAAGCCUGUGAAGGUGUGUCGUGAGGCAUGCUGGAGGUAUCAGAAGUGCGAAUGCUGACAUAAGUAACGAUAAAGCGGGUGAAAAGCCCGCUCGCCGGAAGACCAAGGGUUCCUGUCCAACGUUAAUCGGGGCAGGGUGAGUCGACCCCUAAGGCGAGGCCGAAAGGCGUAGUCGAUGGGAAACAGGUUAAUAUUCCUGUACUUGGUGUUACUGCGAAGGGGGGACGGAGAAGGCUAUGUUGGCCGGGCGACGGUUGUCCCGGUUUAAGCGUGUAGGUGUGUGUUCCAGGUAAAUCCGGUUCACUUUAACACUGAGGCGUGACGACGAGGCACUACGGUGCUGAAGCAACAAAUGCCCUGCUUCCAGGAAAAGCCUCUAAGCAUCAGGUAACAUCAAAUCGUACCCCAAACCGACACAGGUGGUCAGGUAGAGAAUACCAAGGCGCUUGAGAGAACUCGGGUGAAGGAACUAGGCAAAAUGGUGCCGUAACUUCGGGAGAAGGCACGCUGACACGUAGGUGAAGUGAUUUACUCAUGGAGCUGAAGUCAGUCGAAGAUACCAGCUGGCUGCAACUGUUUAUUAAAAACACAGCACUGUGCAAACACGAAAGUGGACGUAUACGGUGUGACGCCUGCCCGGUGCCGGAAGGUUAAUUGAUGGGGUCAGCGCAAGCGAAGCUCCUGAUCGAAGCCCCGGUAAACGGCGGCCGUAACUAUAACGGUCCUAAGGUAGCGAAAUUCCUUGUCGGGUAAGUUCCGACCUGCACGAAUGGCGUAAUGAUGGCCAGGCUGUCUCCACCCGAGACUCAGUGAAAUUGAACUCGCUGUGAAGAUGCAGUGUACCCGCGGCAAGACGGAAAGACCCCGUGAACCUUUACUAUAGCUUGACACUGAACAUUGAGCCUUGAUGUGUAGGAUAGGUGGGAGGCUUUGAAGCGUGGACGCCAGUCUGCGUGGAGCCGACCUUGAAAUACCACCCUUUAAUGUUUGAUGUUCUAACGUGGACCCGUAAUCCGGGUUGCGGACAGUGUCUGGUGGGUAGUUUGACUGGGGCGGUCUCCUCCUAAAGAGUAACGGAGGAGCACGAAGGUUGGCUAAUCCUGGUCGGACAUCAGGAGGUUAGUGCAAUGGCAUAAGCCAGCUUGACUGCGAGCGUGACGGCGCGAGCAGGUGCGAAAGCAGGUCAUAGUGAUCCGGUGGUUCUGAAUGGAAGGGCCAUCGCUCAACGGAUAAAAGGUACUCCGGGGAUAACAGGCUGAUACCGCCCAAGAGUUCAUAUAUCGACGGCGGUGUUUGGCACCUCGAUGUCGGCUCAUCACAUCCUGGGGCUGAAGUAGGUCCCAAGGGUAUGGCUGUUCGCCAUUUAAAGUGGUACGCGAGCUGGGUUUAGAACGUCGUGAGACAGUUCGGUCCCUAUCUGCCGUGGGCGCUGGAGAACUGAGGGGGGCUGCUCCUAGUACGAGAGGACCGGAGUGGACGCAUCACUGGUGUUCGGGUUGUCAUGCCAAUGGCACUGCCCGGUAGCUAAAUGCGGAAGAGAUAAGUGCUGAAAGCAUCUAAGCACGAAACUUGCCCCGAGAUGAGUUCUCCCUGAGACUUAGAGUCUCCUGAAGGAACGUUGAAGACGACGACGUUGAUAGGCCGGGUGUGUAAGCGCAGCGAUGCGUUGAGCUAACCGGUACUAAUGAACCGUGAGGCUUAACCUU